GAGACGCGCCUCGACUCUCACGGCACGCGCACAGGCCGUUCAGCUCAGUCAGAGAGAACACACAGUCACCACUCAAACCAACAUUCAUUCACUAAAGCAUUCACAAUGAGACUUUUCUGACAAACCUUCGAAUUGUGAGAGACAUGUAUUUAUUCUUCAUUCAUUUAUUUAUUUAAAAGUGGUAAGUAUAGAUGGCCUUGAUAUUUUCAAUAGCAUUAUGUACAUCCAGCAUGUGUUCGUAGCCAAAGCCAGUUUCCAAAACUAGUGCCUUAAUGGGCAUUAAAAAUGCAUCACAUUUUGAGAUAUAAUCAGUAAUCAAUUUCUUAUGAUUGUUAUUGAUGGAAUACCACUAAUACCAAUAUGUGAGUGUUAUUAAUUUGAUAUGAGUUAUCAAAAAUAAAUAUGUUGGUAUUGGUGUGAUUGAUAUGAGGUAUGAUCAGUAAUGACUGGCAGUAAUGAUUAAUAUUGACGUGAUUUGAGAUAUUAUUAGUAGCAGCAAUAGUUGAAAUUGAACUGAUAUGAGAUAUUAUCGGUACUAAGCAUGGUUGAUAGUGAAGUAAAAUAAGAUAUUAUCAGUACUAAGCAUGGUUGAUAGUGAAGUAAAAUAAGAUAUUAUCAGUACUAAGCAUGGUUGAUAGUGAAGUAAAAUAAGAUAUUAUCAGUACUAAGCAUGGUUGAUAGUGAAGUACAAUAAGAUAUUAUCAGUACUAAGCAUGGUUGAUAGUGAAGUAAAAUAAGAUAUUAUCAGUACUAAGCAUGGUUGAUAGUGAAGUAAAAUAAGAUAUUAUCAGGACUAAGCAUGGUUGGUAUUGAAGUUAAAUAAAAUAUUUGGACUAAGCAUGGUUGAUAUUGAAGUAAAAUAAGAUAUCGUCAGUACUAUGCAUGGUUGAUAUUGAAGUGAUAUGAGAUAAGUACUAAGCAUGGUUGAUAUUGAAGUGAAAUAAGAUAUUAUCUGGACUAAGCGUGGUUGAUAUUGAAGUGAUAUGUUAAAAGUAACGACCAUGAUUGGUACUGAUAGAAUGUGAGAUACGGUCAGUAAUAAAUUUGAUUGAUAUUGACAAAAUAUGAGACAGAAUCAGUGAUAAGUAGGAUUGAUAUCGAUGGAAUAUUAACUAUUAUCAGUGAUACGUUUGAUUAAUACUGAUGGAAUAUGAGAGAUUAUCAGGAAAAAGUGUGAUUGAUAUUGAUGUGCGUCAGGUGCCUGUUCUAUUACUGUCAGGGUUGACUCCCUUCAUAAUAAAUUAGAGCGUGACCUCUGGUGUGACCUCCAGUUAUUAUAAAUGAUAAAAAUAGUGUCUUUGCAUAUGUCUGAAGGGACUGAAGACCCAGUUAGUGUGAGACAUGGUGUUUUUAUAAACUGCAGACCAAUGCGCCUCUCUCUCCCCCUGUCUCUCUCUCUCUCUCUCUCACACUUACUGUGUUGUGUUAAAGAAGCGCCUCACGGCUGCGCAGUAAAGUCCGGACUCGGUCCGGACACGCGUCUGCGCAGCAGAGUCCGAGCGCUGUCUGGACUGAGCGCUGCAGGGUCCAGGGCCGUUAUAUAUCCAUCUGUCAGCAGCGGACAGACCCCAUCAUCAGGGCUCUGUCAUGCCAGAUUAAGACCUUCUCCCCUUCUCCCCUUCGCUCUCUUCUCUUUCCUCCCUGGGCCUCCACCUUUCCCUUCACUCUUUCCUCCCCCCCUCUCUCUCUCCCCCCCUCUCCGUCCCUCCCCCUCUCCCUCUCGUUGGGAGUGUGGUGGAGAGCGGUGGGCUCCAGUGCAGCGCGACGCCUCUUUUUAUCAUGUGAAUGAGGUAGUAGUAUUUUAAUUAAAAUGUCAGAACAAAUAGUGUGAGAGUUAUUGAGGAUGAAUCACUACAUAAGAGAAGCACUGAGGCAGAACAGGUCAAAGAGGCAGAGUCACCUGGAUUACAGUGGAGGGUGGAGGGGGGGGGGGGGCAGGGGGACUGAGGAGAGGAACUGUGUGAGGACAGCGGUCACAGCACAGUGGAGCACCCUGUCCUUUACAGAGCACCUGAAAACUUACACUGCACCAGUACAGAUAACCUAAACACUAACGUUGCAUCAGAAGAGUGAACCUAAAUACUAACACUGCAUUAAUACCGCACACCUAAACACGAACACUGCAUUAAUACAGAGCACCUGAAAACUUACACUGCACCAGUACAGAGAACCUCAACACUAACACUGUGUCAGUAUAGAGAACCUAAGCACUAACACUGUACCAGUAUAGAGCACCUAAACACUAACACUGCACCAGUAUAGAGCACCUAAACACUAACACUGUGUCAGUAUAGAGAACCUAAGCACUAACACUGUACCAGUAUAGAGAACCUAAACACUAACACUGCACCAGUAUAGAGCACCUAAACACUAACACUGCACCAGUAUAGAGAACCUAAACACUAACACUGUGUCAGUGUAGAGAACCUAAGCACUAACACUGCGUUAAUACAAAGCACCAAAACACAAACCUUGCAUUAAUACAGAGCACCUGAAAACUUACACUGCACCAGUACAGAGAACCUCAACACUAACACUGUGUCAGUAUAGAGAACCUAAGCACUAACACUGUACCAGUAUAGAGCACCUAAACACUAACACUGCACCAGUAUAGAGCACCUAAACACUAACACUGUGUCAGUGUAGAGAACCUAAGCACUAACACUGCGUUAAUACAAAGCACCAAAACACAAACCUUGCAUUAAUACAGAGCACCUGAACGCUUACACUGCAGCAAUGCACAGCACCUAAACUCUAAUAUUACGUUAAUACCGAACACCUAAGCACUAACACAGCAUUAAUACAAAGCACUGAAACACAAACCUUGCAUUCAUACAGAGCACCUGAAAACUUACACUGCACCGAUAUAGAGCACCUAAACGCUAGCACUGCAUCAGAACAGAGAACCUAAACACUAACACUACAUUAAUACAGGAUACCUAAACACUAACACUGCAUCAAUACAGAGAACCUAAACAUUAACACUGUGUCAGUAUAGAGAACCUAAGCACUAACACUGCAUUAAUACAGCACACCUAAACGGUAACCCUGCACCAGUACAGAGUACCUAAACACUAACACUGCAUGAACACAGAGCAACUAAAUACUAACACUGCAUUAAUACAGAGCACCUAAACACGAACACCGCACUAUUAUAUAGCACCUAAACGCUAGCACUGCAUCAGAACAGAGAACCUAAACACUAACACUACAUUAAUACAGGAUACCUAAACACUAACACUGCAUCAAUACAGAGAACCUAAACAUUAACACUGUGUCAGUAUAGAGAACCUAAGCACUAACACUGCAUUAAUACAGCACACCUAAACGGUAACCCUGCACCAGUACAGAGUACCUAAACACUAACACUGCAUGAACACAGAGCAACUAAAUACUAACACUGCAUUAAUACAGAGCACCUGAACACUAAUACGACAUCAGUACAGAGCACCUAAAUACUAAUGCUGCACCAAUACAGGGCACCAAAACAAGAAAAGUGUACCUAAACACUAACAGUGCAUCAAUACGAAGAACCUAAACGCUAACACUGCACCAUUACAGAGAACAUAAACACUAAGACUGCAUCAAUGCAGAGAUCCUGAGCACUAACACUGCAUUAAAACAGAGCAACUAAACACUGCCACUGCAUCAGCAAAGUGCAGCUGAACACUAGCAAUAUCAGUACUAAGCAGCUGAACACCAACACUGCAUCAACUCAGAGUAGCUGAACAUUAACACUGCAUCAGCACAGAGCAGCUGAACACUAACACCGUAUCAGCACAGAGUAGCUGAACACUAUCACUAUCAGCACAGGGCAGCUGAAUAUUAACACUGCAUUAGCACAGAGUAGCUGAACACUAUCACUGUAUCAGCAUAGAGUCGCUGAACACUAUCACUGUAUCAGCACAGAGUCACUGAACACUAUCACUGUAUCAGCAUAAAGCAGCUAAACACUAAGGCUGCAUCAGCACAGAGCAGCUGAACACACAGAGCAGCUGAACACACAGAGUAGCUGAACACUAUCCCUGUGUCGGUGCAGGGCGUGUGUGCGGUUUGUUGUACACAGUGCUGGUGAGAGCAGAGAGCAGGCCGCGCUCACUGCUCUCUCCCCAAAUGAACAGAAUCAGUCAGCAACCUGAGGCAGGAAAAGUAACACAUAUUAUAAUUGUGUGACAUUUUGAUAAUGACCGUUCUGACAUUUCAGACUGACACCUUUUUUUCCCCUGUCUGUUUUGGUCUCCUGCAUUUUAAAGGGUAAUGACACAGAGUGACAGCUUUACUGUUUAAAACCUGCGGCCUGUUCACAGCUUCAAAUCCUCUUCUGUCGUUUAUAGAAGGCCGCUCCAAAUCCAGCUCGCACACCCAUCAAAGAGCAACACAAAACACACAAACUAAAUGUCAGCUAUCAGUGAGAAUCAUGUUACCUUUAGGAUAAACUCAUUGCUUCCUCUCACUAGAAUAUCUCUCCCCUCUUCUGUAAUAUGCACCUGCUUAUUAACAUACCAAUAAAUUCUCAUUAAUGUCGUGUCUUAUUAAAAACAGCCUACAUACAUGUGCACUACGCAUUUCAAAUAUUCCAGUUGCUUACAAGUACUUUUUCAUAGAUGUCUUGUAAAAUACAGUAUUUAGAAAUACAAGGCAUUUGAAUGUUUAAAUGUGUUUGGACAUGUGUUUUUAACUUAUAUUAAAGUAAUAGAGACUGAAUGUAUUUGAAUUGAUUCAGUAAAUAUUUGGCUUUAUAACGUAUUUAAUUGUAUUUUUGUAUUUGUAAAAACUCUUGCGUGCUCUUUCCUUUCUUUCUAAUAUAAACCAGCAUACUACUGAGUGGUACUACUUCAAUCUUUGAUUAUGGUAUGUACUCAGGGUAUCUGUCAACUCCCCAAAAGAUGUCCGUCCAGUUUUCUGAGGGAAAAAAGAAACACUGGAACCCAGAUUUUUUGCCUUGUGAAUUUAAUUAGAAAAGGCAAAUCUUCAUUGCUUGCCAUAACACAGGCAACCACCACUUAAGAAAAAAUGUUUUGAAAAUCAUUUUCUUUCCUCCUUUAAGGCAUGUUUUCUGGGAUGUCUCCCAACUCUACGUGCAACUUGGGAGAACAAAGCAAGCAGCUGCGGUCAAAAAAUGAAGCGUGGUGGCUGAGCGAGUAGAAUGCACCUCUAGCCCUGCAUGUUAUUAAAUGUCCCGACAGCAACGACCGGGGGAACAAAGACAGGCCACAAAUGGGCUGGACAGAGACACAAAGAGUGAGAACGGGGCGCUGCUGCCUAGCGCUCCCAAAAUCACUCGAAAAAGUCCUGUCAGGAGUUGGCUGCAGCGCACGGCUUUUCUGCAGCGCCGGUGCCAAGAAUGAUCAGAGACGGAAAGAACAUUCUCCGUUUGUGUGUAGCUCAUUACUAACGCGAGCAGUAAAUAAGAUUAAGUGACAACGCAGUGAAUGUGUUGCUGUUCCUCAAGAUGAACGUAAUGAAAAAUGAAUGAAAAUGAGGUAGUCUGGCAGUGUCAUACUUUAUAACUUCAUGCAUUUCACUAUUUGAGUUUUAAGGUGGACCAUGUUCUGAGGGGGGAGGGGGGUUGCCUGUUAAUUUGCUGUAAUUUAAAUAGUGAAUCACUAUAUGUAGCUGAAUUAGGAUACAGUUGCCUAUUUCUACCCUUUAGUUCUGCGGCUUAAUAUAGUAAGAAUUGUGUACACUCAGUUCAGAUGAGCUGGUUGUGUUUUGGUGCAGGUGAGCUGGUUGUGUUUUGGUGCAGGUGAGCUGGUUGUGUGUUGGUGCAGGUGAGCUGGUUGUGUUUUGGUGCAGGUGAGCUGGUUGUGUUUUGGUGCAGGUGAGCUGGUUGUGUGUUGGUGCAGGUGAGCUGGUUGUGUUUUGGUGUAGGUGAGCUGGUUGUGUUUUGGUGCAGGUGAGCUGGUUGUGUUCUAGUUCAGGUGAGCUGGUUGUGUUUUGGUGUAGGUGAGCUGGUUGUGUUUUGGUGUAGGUGAGCUGGUUGUGUUUUGGUGCAGGUGAGCUGGUUGUGUUUUGGUGCAGGUGAGCUGGUUGUGUUCUAGUUCAGGUGAGCUGGUUGUGUUUUGGUGCAGGUGAGCUGGUUGUGUUUUGGUGCAGGUGAGCUGGUUGUGUUUUGGUGCAGGUGAGCUGGUUGUGUUUUAGUGCAGGUGAGCUGGUUGUGUUUUGGUGCAGGUGAGCUGGUUGUGUUUUGGUGCAGGUGAGCUGGUUGUGUUCUAAUUCAGGUGAGCUGGUUGUGUUUUGGUGCAGGUGAGCUGGUUGUGUUUUGGUGCAGGUGAGCUGGUUGUGUUUUGGUGCAGGUGAGCUGGUUGUGUUUUGGUGCAGGUGAGCUGGUUGUGUUUUGGUGCAGGUGAGCUGGUUGUGUUUUAGUGCAGGUGAGCUGGUUGUGUUUUGGUGCAGGUGAGCUGGUUGUGUUUUGGUGCAGGUGAGCUGGUUGUGUUUUAGUGCAGGUGAGCUGGUUGUGUUUUGGUGCAGGUGAGCUGGUUGUGUUUUGGUGCAGGUGAGCUGGUUGUGUUUUGGUGCAGGUGAGCUGGUUGUGUUUUGGUGUAGGCGAGGUGAUUGUGUUCUGGCUCUGCUUGGUGUAUUCAGUCUCCUGACAGUGUGAUGCUGUGUG